CCUACGGGGGGCUGCAGUAGGGAAUUUUCGGCAAUGGGGGAAACCCUGACCGAGCAACGCCGCGUGAGUGAUGAAGGUCUUCGGAUUGUAAAGCUCUGUUAUAAGGGAAGAACGGCAGCUAGAGGAAAUGCUAGCUGUUUGACGGUACUUUAUGAGAAAGCCACGGCUAACUACGUGCCAGCAGCCGCGGUAAUACGUAGGUGGCAAGCGUUAUCCGGAAUUAUUGGGCGUAAAGAGUGAGCAGGCGGCAGUUUAAGUUUGGAGUCAAAGCGAGGGGCUCAACCCCUUAACGCUCUGAAAACUGAACAGCUAGAGUGCGAGAGAGGUAAGUGGAAUUCCAUGUGUAGCGGUGAAAUGCGUAGAUAUAUGGAGGAACACCAGUGGCGAAGGCGACUUACUAGCUCGAUACUGACGCUCAGUCACGAAAGCGUGGGUAGCAAACAGGAUUAGAUACCCUUGUAGUC
rnacentral:rRNA from 1 species